UACAGAGGUCUCAAGCGUUGUUCGGAUUCAUUGGGCGUAAAGGGCUCGUAGGCGGCCAACUAAGUCCGACGUGAAAUCCCCAGGCUUAACCUGGGAACUGCGUCGGAUACUGGAUGGCUUGAAUCCGGGAGAGGGAUGCGGAAUUCCAGGUGUAGCGGUGAAAUGCGUAGAUAUCUGGAGGAACACCGGUGGCGAAGGCGGCAUCCUGGACCGGCAUUGACGCUGAGGAGCGAAAGCCAGGGGAGCAAACGGG
rnacentral:rRNA from 1 species